GAAAUAGUUACAAAAAUGUGAUUGGUCAAAAUAAAGUGACCAAUAAUGUACAAGGAGUAGGAUUGCACUAUAUUUUAAUCACAACCGUUGAUUAAAUUACAUCCAAUGGACAAAAAUGCAUUGAAACUUUUAGUUAUCUUCGUGCUUGUUCCCCCAAGACAAGGAUCUCAUCUGGUCUCUCUCUCUCUCUCUCUCGUUUUCUUUCUAACUUAUCUCUCAGAUUACAGAUUUCAUAUUUUUUUCUUUCAGAGAUUAUCAAGAUCUCUUUAUUUCCAGCAGAUCUAAUCUUGAUUAUUGAGGUUCUCUUAGUCAGAAGAGAUGGAAAGCUCUACCUCGCCGCUGCCGAGCUCUAGCCCUGCCGUCUCCAUAUCCUCUCUGUCUCCGUCAAUAUCCACACCACCACACUACUACGGAUCGAUUCACGCAUGAGAGGCUGGAGAAUAAAAUGAAGAAGCUUGAAGGUGGAGGAGGAGGCAUAUAAGGCGUUCGUGAGCAGUGGAGGCGUUUGUGAGCAAAGGUGGUGGUUUGGGAUAGACGACUGCAUCCGGAAAGAUGUUUUGCUGAUGAAGAUAAAUGGAGUGGAUCCUGUUACCUUUGAACCUAUUCAGCGUGAGAGUGAUGCCUCUGUUCCAACUCCCCAAUCAAGCCAAGAACUUGAUCAAAAUUCUCCCGUACACUAACUCCUCCAUCUGAUCUUGGUGUCUUUUGUGUUUAUACUAAGUUAAACUCUAACAGCAUUAGAUGUCUUUUGUAACUAUUGAACAUCAUUAGAUGUCUUUUGUAAAAAACUUAUAAUUUUAAUGGUAUUUGAAUGUUUCAAUUAA